AAUUCAAAACUGUUUCAGGUCCCUUACAACGAUACGAUUGUUUACAUAUAUUAGGAGCAGUACAAAAACAAAGAGAUACCAGAUAAGGAUUUGAUGAUGAAACACAAAAUAAGACAAUCAAAUUAUUUACAAUAUGUCCCCUUUCGGUUCCUACAGUUGACAAUGUAUUUGUUCAGCCGCCCCACCUUGCUUGGGAAUCCUCCAGCAUGGAGUAUCGUGUACCGCCAGAUGACAGCAGCACAGCCGGUUAACUUCUGCACGUGAGCUUCGUCUUGUCAGUUGGUGGGGGGGCGGACACACCAAAAACAGGAAUCAUUGGAAUGGCAAAUGGUGCAAGAAAACAUCAAGUACGUUGAUUCCUUCGACCUUCUGAUAUUUUUUAAGGUCGAGAACAUCCAGCUCAAUGAGGCCUGGCCACCCCGUGAUCGUUCCCAUCCAAGAGCCGUCUUGCUUGUGAUGGAUGCUCUUAACGGACUCCAGCGUGAGAUGAAAGGAUGUUGAUGACAGGAAAGAUGUAUGUAUGAAGAAGUGGGCAAAAUGAAAAGUCAAGGUUGGUUGAGUAUGUGAGCUCGUCAUUCAUGUGAGAGGAAACCGCGGCUCUCUUCAGCCACUAAUCACAGUGCACAAGCUUCAAAUGUAACUCAAGGAAGGCUUUGGUUUCAUACCCCAAAAUCACAUCAACUUAAGUCUUCAUGCCACAGAGUAGAGCAUUUAUAAUCAUCAAGGGUUCUGUGUGAGAGCUUAUCUAAGCAGGGAACAGCUGCCUUGCUUGGUUCUUUCUGUUUGCAGACUUGUUUGGAUCUGUUGCCGUGGCUACCGUCCAUCAGACCGCAGCGACCCAGUCGGCAGCAGGCAAAAAAAAAGAAAAAAAAAGAUGCUAUGUGGAUUGUUAGAUGGUCCGAUAGAUUGAUGUUGCAAUUAAUACGUGCUUUGCGUUUGUUUUUCUAUUUAAUUUCAUGUUAUGUCGACACAAACUGUAUUUAUUUCAUACAAUUCGAAAUUAAAUUCUAUUCAACAUUUUUUAUGUUCAAAAAUGGAUGGAUGGUUAAAAUUAAAAAUAAAAUGACACACUGGACAGAUUUAAUUGUAUCGAACGAGAGUAGAAUCUGUUCAAAUAACUAAGAUAGUAAAGAAUAAAACACACUCAUUAUUGUCAUACAUUGACAAGCCUUUAUUGUGGGACAAACCAUCACCAAUACAACAUGGAGGGUGUGAGUUUACUUUUUUUUAAACAACUUCAAUAUUUGUGACUCUCUGUUCCACCGUGUCCAAAUCCUAUAACGCAAAAUUAAUAUAGAGUGAUUAUAUGAACAAAAGUAGAAGAUUGAGAUCAGACAAUUUCAUACUAGUUUUGUACCUUGGGGUCCAAAGAGUGCGCUGUAGCACGGCUUGUGGCAGUAGGGCUUGUUAUCAUGCUGAAACAAAACAGCACAUGCUCAGAUAGACAGCCCCAUUAGCGGCUAACAAUGUUAGCUUUGAAUUUCUUUUGAACACUUUUGAUCGUGUCAGUAACGUACCUCGGCGUGCGAUCCCGACGACAGGGUCUUGCCGCACUUCUCGCACCUGAGACAGGGUCUGUGCCAGUCUUUUCCCAGAGACGACACCUUCUCCGCUGCACAACACAAGAACGUAAAGGCGGGAAGUUACCCAGUGUUUACUUUGUUUUAUGAAAAUAUGUUAACGCAUCACACAAAUAAAACACAACUUGAAAGCAAAGUCACACAGAACAAACCAAGAGAAUUCAGCUUGGAUUCUUGAUUCAAUAACGAGCGAUUGUUAGCAGUAAUGCUAGUGGUUAGUAACAGCAUCUGCAGUUAGCAAUUAAGUUAGCAUUUAGCAACAUUCAGUGAAAAGAUAUGUGUUUCCAAUUACCGUUUUUUCCCAUGUAUAAUGCGCAAAAUUUAACUAAUUUAUUGUCCUAAAAUCUGGGGUGCGCAUUAUACAUGGGUACAAAAAAAAAAAAAAAUUUCAGCUUUUUCCAGCAUCAACAUGCCAUUUUUAGGGUGCGUAUUAUACAUGGGGGCGCAUUAUACAUGGGAAAAAACGGUAGUUUUUUUUAAUGAUUAAAAAAAUUAUAAUUCAAUACAAAUACCAAAUAAUACAGUAAAAGAAUUUAGCACAAUAUUAGAAGCAGGUCUUGUACUGUAUUACAAAAUUCAAAAGCAAAUCAGUGCCAUGUGUUGGAUGGGAAGCUGUUUGGGUGUGGCUCAAGAAUCUCAUAAAAAAGAAAAAAAGAGAAUGUGCACUCAAAGACUCGCUUGUUAUGUUGAACAAAUGCCAUUUUCCGUGUUUUUUGCUCUCUCCCA